rnacentral:rRNA from 1 species
GAAUGCUGACAUAAGUAACGAUAAAGCGGGUGAAAAGCCCGCUCGCCGGAAGACCAAGGGUUCCUGUCCAACGUUAAUCGGGGCAGGGUGAGUCGACCCCUAAGGCGAGGCCGAAAGGCGUAGUCGAUGGGAAACGGGUUAAUAUUCCCGUACUUGGUGUUACUGCGAAGGGGGGACGGAGAAGGCUAUGUUGGCCGGGCGACGGUUGUCCCGGUUUAAGCGUGUAGGUGUGUGUUCCAGGUAAAUCCGGUUCACUUUAACACUGAGGCGUGAUGACGAGGCACUACGGUGCUGAAGCAACAAAUGCCCUGCUUCCAGGAAAAGCCUCUAAGCAUCAGGUAACAUCAAAUCGUACCCCAAACCGACACAGGUGGUCAGGUAGAGAAUACCAAGGCGCUUGAGAGAACUCGGGUGAAGGAACUAGGCAAAAUGGUGCCGUAACUUCGGGAGAAGGCACGCUGACACGUAGGUGAAGUGAUUUACUCAUGGAGCUGAAGUCAGUCGAAGAUACCAGCUGGCUGCAACUGUUUAUUAAAAACACAGCACUGUGCAAACACGAAAGUGGACGUAUACGGUGUGACGCCUGCCCGGUGCCGGAAGGUUAAUUGAUGGGGUCAGCGCAAGCGAAGCUCCUGAUCGAAGCCCCGGUAAACGGCGGCCGUAACUAUAACGGUCCUAAGGUAGCGAAAUUCCUUGUCGGGUAAGUUCCGACCUGCACGAAUGGCGUAAUGAUGGCCAGGCUGUCUCCACCCGAGACUCAGUGAAAUUGAACUCGCUGUGAAGAUGCAGUGUACCCGCGGCAAGACGGAAAGACCCCGUGAACCUUUACUAUAGCUUGACACUGAACAUUGAGCCUUGAUGUGUAGGAUAGGUGGGAGGCUUUGAAGUGUGGACGCCAGUCUGCAUGGAGCCGACCUUGAAAUACCACCCUUUAAUGUUUGAUGUUCUAACGUGGACCCGUAAUCCGGGUUGCGGACAGUGUCUGGUGGGUAGUUUGACUGGGGCGGUCUCCUCCUAAAGAGUAACGGAGGAGCACGAAGGUUGGCUAAUCCUGGUCGGACAUCAGGAGGUUAGUGCAAUGGCAUAAGCCAGCUUGACUGCGAGCGUGACGGCGCGAGCAGGUGCGAAAGCAGGUCAUAGUGAUCCGGUGGUUCUGAAUGGAAGGGCCAUCGCUCAACGGAUAAAAGGUACUCCGGGGAUAACAGGCUGAUACCGCCCAAGAGUUCAUAUCGACGGCGGUGUUUGGCACCUCGAUGUCGGCUCAUCACAUCCUGGGGCUGAAGUAGGUCCCAAGGGUAUGGCUGUUCGCCAUUUAAAGUGGUACGCGAGCUGGGUUUAGAACGUCGUGAGACAGUUCGGUCCCUAUCUGCCGUGGGCGCUGGAGAACUGAGGGGGGCUGCUCCUAGUACGAGAGGACCGGAGUGGACGCAUCACUGGUGUUCGGGUUGUCAUGCCAAUGGCACUGCCCGGUAGCUAAAUGCGGAAGAGAUAAGUGCUGAAAGCAUCUAAGCACGAAACUUGCCCCGAGAUGAGUUCUCCCUGAGACUUAGAGUCUCCUGAAGGAACGUUGAAGACGACGACGUUGAUAGGCCGGGUGUGUAAGCGCAGCGAUGCGUUGAGCUAACCGGUACUAAUGAACCGUGAGG